GGGCAGAUACCCAAGUGGCCAACGGGGGCAGACUGUAAAUCUGCUGGCUUAUGCCUUCGCUGGUUCGAAUCCAGCUCUGCCCA
rnacentral:tRNA from 3 species